rnacentral:rRNA from 1 species
UAUCCUACGGGGCGCAGCAGUGGGGAAUAUUGGGCAAUGGGCGCAAGCCUGACCCAGCAACGCCGCGUGAAGGAAGAAGGCUUUCGGGUUGUAAACUUCUUUUAUCAGGGACGAAGCAAGUGACGGUACCUGAUGAAUAAGCCACGGCUAACUACGUGCCAGCAGCCGCGGGAAUACGUAGGUGGCAAGAGUUAUCCGGAUUUACUGGGUGUAAAGGGCGUGUAGGAGGGAGUGCAAGGCAGAUGUGAAAAAUAUGGGAUCAACCCAUAGCCUGCAUUUGAAACUGUACUUCUUGAGGGCUGGAG